rnacentral:rRNA from 1 species
CGACAAGUGAAUUCAUAGCUUGUCAGAAGGCAGACCCGGAGAACUGAAACAUCUUAGUACCCGGAGGAAGAGAAAGAAAAUUCGAUUCCCUGAGUAGCGGCGAGCGAAACGGGAAGAGCCCAAACCAAUAAGCUUGCUUAUUGGGGUUGUAGGACACUCUAUACGGAGUUACAAAGGAAUAUAUUAAACGAAUCAUCUGGAAAGUUGAAUCAAAGAAGGUAAUAAUCCUGUAGUUGAAAAUAUAUUCUCUCUUGAGUGGAUCCUGAGUACGACGGAGCACGUGAAAUUCCGUCGGAAUCUGGGAGGACCAUCUCCUAAGGCUAAAUACUCUCUAGUGACCGAUAGUGAACCAGUACCGUGAGGGAAAGGUGAAAAGUACCCCGGAAGGGGAGUGAAAGAGAACUUGAAACCGUGUGCUUACAAGUAGUCAGAGCCCGUUAAUGGGUGAUGGCGUGCCUUUUGUAGAAUGAACCGGCGAGUUACGAUCUGAUGCAAGGUUAAGCAGAAAAUGUGGAGCCGUAGCGAAAGCGAGUCUGAAUAGGGCGUAUAGUAUUUGGUCGUAGACCCGAAACCAGGUGAUCUACCCAUGGUCAGGUUGAAGUUCAGGUAACACUGAAUGGAGGACCGAACCGACUUACGUUGAAAAGUGAGCGGAUGAACUGUGGGUAGCGGAGAAAUUCCAAUCGAACUUGGAGAUAGCUGGUUCUCUCCGAAAUAGCUUUAGGGCUAGCCUCAAGUGAUGAUUAUUGGAGGUAGAGCACUGUUUGGACGAGGGGCCCCUCUCGGGUUACCGAAUUCAGACAAACUCCGAAUGCCAAUUAAUUUAACUUGGGAGUCAGAACAUGGGUGAUAAGGUCCGUGUUCGAAAGGGAAACAGCCCAGACCACCAGCUAAGGUCCCAAAAUAUAUGUUAAGUGGAAAAGGAUGUGGCGUUGCCCAGACAACUAGGAUGUUGGCUUAGAAGCAGCCAUCAUUUAAAGAGUGCGUAAUAGCUCACUAGUCGAGUGACACUGCGCCGAAAAUGUACCGGGGCUAAACAUAUUACCGAAGCUGUGGAUUGUCCUUUGGACAAUGGUAGGAGAGCGUUCUAAGGGCGUUGAAGCAUGAUCGCAAGGACAUGUGGAGCGCUUAGAAGUGAGAAUGCCGGUGUGAGUAGCGAAAGACGGGUGAGAAUCCCGUCCACCGAUUGACUAAGGUUUCCAGAGGAAGGCUCGUCCGCUCUGGGUUAGUCGGGUCCUAAGCUGAGGCCGACAGGCGUAGGCGAUGGAUAACAGGUUGAUAUUCCUGUACCACCUAUAAUCGUUUUAAUCGAUGGGGGGACGCAGUAGGAUAGGCGAAGCGUACGAUUGGAUUGUACGUCUAAGCAGUGAGAUUGAGUGUUAGGCAAAUCCGGCACUCUUAAGAUUGAGCUGUGAUGGGGAGAGGAAAUUGUUUCCUCGAGUCGUUGAUUUCACACUGCCGAGAAAAGCCUCUAGAUAGAGAUUAGGUGCC